rnacentral:rRNA from 1 species
UACGUAGGGUGCGAGCGUUGUCCGGAAUUACUGGGCGUAAAGAGCUCGUAGGCGGUUCGGUAAGUCGGGUGUGAAACCUCCAGGCUCAACCUGGAGACGCCACCCGAUACUGCUGUGACUAGAGUCCGGUAGGGGAGCGUGGAAUUCCUGGUGUAGCGGUGAAAUGCGCAGAUAUCAGGAGGAACACCAGCGGCGAAGGCGGCGCUCUGGGCCGGAACUGACGCUGAGGAGCGAAAGCGUGGGGAGCAAACAGG